GGCUUCCGUCGUGGGCGGAGCCAAAGCCCUGCGCCCUGCCCCCUUCCGUAGGCGAGUCAUUUCCGUCCGCCGAGGAACAGAGAAAGCCGCCGGCGAGUUGUGGGCAGAGCGCCUCGGGCAGGAGUUCCCUGGUCGCAAGUGGGAAGCUGGCUCCUGGGAUGGCCGAGGUGGAGACCCAGGGCCGCCUGUGGCUGGAGAGCCCCCCCGGGGGAGCCCCCCCCAUCUUCCUGCCCUCGGACGGGCAAGCCCUUGUCCUGGGCCGGGGACCCUUGACCCAGGUUACCGACCGGAAGUGCUCCAGAAACCAAGUGGAGCUGGUCGCAAACCCCAGGACCAGGACCGUGGCAGUGAAACAGCUGGGAAUUAACCCCUCAACUGCUGGGACCCAGGAGCUGAGUCCGGGAUCAGAAGGUUCUCUGAGGGUGGGGGACACGCUGUACUUGGUCAACGGCCUCCACCCGCUAACCCUGCGCUGGGAAGAGGCCCGCACGCCUGUAUCCCAGCAAGACACUCCACCCGGCACCCCUCCCGUGGCUCCCCAUGAGGCAGAGGCUGUUGAGCCACAGAAAAAACGCAUGCGGAAGUCAUCCCCGGGCUGGGAGAAUUUCGAGAAGCUGCUAGUAUUUACAGCACCGGGGGUGAAGCCUCGGAGCAAGGUGGCUGGCUUUGAUUUGGACGGGACCCUCAUCACCACACGCUCUGGGAAAGUCUUUCCCACCGGCCCCACCGACUGGAGGAUCUUAUACCUGGAGAUUCCACGUAAGCUCCGGGAGCUGGAUGCCGAAGGCUACAAGCUGGUGAUCUUCACCAACCAGAUGGCCAUUGGGCGCGGGAAGCUGCCGGCAGAGGAGUUCAAGGCUAAAGUGGAGGCUGUGGUGGAGAAACUGGGCCUCCCCUUUCAGGUGCUGGUGGCCACACACGCCGGCUUGUACCGGAAGCCAGUGAUCGGCAUGUGGGACCAUCUGCGGGAACAGGGCAACGAAGGUGUGCCUGUCUCCAUCGGGGACAGCAUGUUCGUGGGAGAUGCAGCUGGACGACCAGCCAACUGGGCCCCUGGCCGAAAGAAGAAAGACUUCUCUUGUGCAGACCGUCUGUUUGCUCUCAACCUUGGCCUGCCCUUCGCCACACCAGAGGAGUUCUUUCUCAAGUGGCCCGUUGCCAACUUCGUGCUCCCCACCUUUGACCCGAGAACCGUCUCCCCCUCGGGGCCGCUUUGCCUCCCGGAGUCCAGCUCCCUCUUGAGCCACGACCCUGAAGUGGUUGUCGCCGUGGGAUUUCCUGGGGCUGGCAAGUCCACCUUCCUCCAAGAGCAUCUUGUGUCAGCAGGAUACGUGCACGUGAACAGGGACACCCUGGGCUCAUGGCAGCGCUGCGUGACCACGUGUGAGAAUGCUCUAAAGCAGAGGAAACGGGUUGUGAUUGACAACACAAACCCAGACCCUCCGACCCGGGCCAGGUACAUUAAGUGUGCCCGAGACGCAGGUGUGCCCUGCCGCUGCUUCCUCUUCAGCACCACCCUGGAGCAUGCACGCCACAAUAACCGGUUCCGAGAGAUGACGGGCUCCUCUCACGCCCCCGUGUCCGAUGUGGUCAUGUAUGGCUACAGCUUGGACAGCAUCAUGCUGAAAGAAGGGUAGUCUACCCAGUGAGGACAGGCACCCGGGCGAGUCCCCGGGGACGGGGGAGCACAGACCUGCCGGCCUCCCAGGCCUCGGGGCACGGACCCCCAGGGAUCUGCGCUGAGCUGCGCACUCGGACCACAGGCCUUUCCCAGGGAGGGUAGUUUAGGCUUCCUCAGAACUGUGGCUGUGGGCACCCUAAACAGAGGGUGGGGAAUCCAGAGGGGCAGGGCCCAAAGGGGUGCGGGGUGGGGGCGGGGGCUUUUCCUCACCCGCGGGCUGCCCAGCUGCAGAGCCAGCCAAGGAGCACCCAUGAUGUGACCCUGAGGACAAGAGCUGGAUCCCGAAUCUGGAUGGAGGAGAGCAGGCCCUGGGCCCAGGAAUACAGCCAGCCAGCUCCAGGGAGGCCCAGGAAGAUGGGGCCACCAUCCGCUGCGUGGGCCAGUCAGCUGGGGACACACCUGCCCCUGAAGGCACAAGCAGCUCUGUGAAGAGUGUCCUUCCUUCUAGCUCAGGUUCCGCUGCAGGACCUGCUGCUGGUUGGCGAUGACACGCCGGAUGCCGUUGACGAAGUUGCUCUGGUCAUGGGGGAUGAGGCCGAUGAAGAUCUUCUUCUCUGACGAGUACAGGAGCAUGAGCACGCGCACCUCGCACGAUGCCUUGUAGGAAAAGUGCACGCAGCCGGCCUGGUGGGCGCAGAGCAGGCGGGUCAUGGUCGGACCACUCCACCCCCCACCCCCCAACAGCCUCAGGGGCUCAAGCACAGGCCAGUGCUCCUGAGACCUGAAGCACACGGCACACCAAUGCAUCCUGAAAGCCGUCCUCAUACCCCUAGUGUCACUCCUGCUCGGGGACAAGGGGACAGAAACCAACAACAGCCCAGGGACCAAUGGGCUCUGCACGGAAGGACUGAGGAGCUGGCAGCACCACAGCCAAGCUCCCCACUAGCGGACAGGCGGGCGCGCAGAGCUGCUCCACAGCACCUGGUGGCUGUGACCCACAGAGGCCACGCGAGAUGCACAGGCCGAUCAGGCCCCAGGAAGCCCAGCACUAAGAUCCCCCACGUGCAGCCCUGGAGCAGCUGAAGUGCCGACCGUGAGCCCCCCAGUGGCAGGGACCCUGCUGUCGUGUCUCCCCCGCCCUGAGACAUGGCUGAAGUAGCAGCAGUGAUGCCUGCUCGAAGGAAGAGGCCCAAGGGCCAGGGCUGUUUUACUGGACAACCUCCCCCCAAAAGACUCUCCACAGCCCAGGUCACCACCCCCCUACAGGUGGGCAAACUGAGGCUCAGAGCUGGAGGACUCACAGCAAGCCCCUGGAACCAGAAGGGCCAAGCCCUCCCUCUGCGUUACCUUGGGGGACCAUGGUGGCAGGUGCCCGGAGGGAAGCCCUUCCAAAGCGCGCCCGCCCCGCACACCUACCUGAGCGGCCGCAGCACACAGGGAGCAGGGCCUCUGCAGGCUCCCCUGAGGAACUCUGCUGCUCAAUUUUUUUUUUUUUAAUGCAAAAGAAACACGUGGGCUUCCCCUCAGCGCACUGUCGCAGGGCUGCAGGACAGACGCUGGCCCGGUGCAGCAACGCCCACAGAGUGCCCGGACAGUGGUGCUUCAUGAGCACCAGAGCACAACACGCCUCGCCUCAAAGAUGGAGAAACUGAGGCCAGUGCUCUGAGGGCUGGGGCUGGAAACAGGUGGCCCUCCCUGCCUGGCAAGGUGCCUCCAGGAGCCUUGGGUUUUCCUCUAGAAAUUGGGCAUGGACAGUGGCUCCUUGUCCCCAGGGAGAGCAGGAGGAAGGCCCUGGGGGCACCGGAUCCUCGCUCCGUAGUACCAGCUCCUUGACACUGAGUCAAUCCUGGAGGCCUGCACCAGGCGGGGUGCACAUCUCAGCCUCAGACACUACCUCUGGGCCUCAGUUUCCCCAUCUGUAAAAUGGGGUCAGGACAGCACAGAGCCUCAGGGAGUCAUGUGGCCUGAGAGGCAGCACGUGUCCAAACACAAGGCCAACCUGCUGUCACUGGGGGGCCACCCCUGCACACUCCCCCAAGCUGGUCUGGAGGAACGGUCACAGGCUCUCAUCUCCCAGUUCUUAAACCCAAAAGGGAACCGGCCCUGUGCGCCCCAGCCGGGCCCUCCUCGUCAGCCCCUUGCCCCACUCACAAAGCCAUUGUCCAUGAUCCGGCACAGGCUCUUCAGCGUCUCCAGGUCCUUGGUGAAGUGGAACUGGACCAGGCGCGAGUUCCGAAACAGUGGUACCAGGGUGGUCUGCAGGGAAGGCGGUAUGGCUCCAUGACAAAGGAACCCUGAGUGAGCCACAGCCACACUGUCCUGCCUCUGCACGGUCCCCACAUGGCAGCUGCCACUGCCUCCAUAGGCCUCACCCCGACGGACCACCUUGGACGGUUCCCGAGUGUGACCCCCUCAUCAAGCCGGUCUCCACCCCUGCCUGCCUGCACUUGUUGGAUGACCAGCCACUGGGCCCUUGCACAUGCUCUCUAGAAGAUUCUCUAGCUUUUCUUUAGGGAAAGCACUGUGGCCCCAAGGCCUACACCAGCUAUCUCACAGGUGGGGCAGGCCCAGGGCCUCCCUUCACUCUCACCAGCAGCUGCUGUGGGAUGAGCUGCAUGUACAGCUUCCUUGGCCACUGCUCAGUCCUCCUGCGGGGCAUGAGGGGACCAGGGUCAGGAAGCCGGGCCUCGACAAGACCCUGCCUUGGCCCCCAGCCCGACACUCACAGGAUCUCCCCUUGGUUCACGUAGACAUGUGAUGGCAGCCACCUCUUGGACCGACUGUUGGGCUCAGGCCUGGGCUUUUGGGGAGAGGAAGAAAGUGACAUCAGCAGUGGGAGGUGCCCCAGUCAGCAAGGAUGCACUGGUCUUAUGGGCACCCAGGUACCCCCCAGGACUCACCUCUUGCCACUCCAUGACUCCACUCCACGCUAGGAACUUGUUGUUGACGAUCUGCACCGGGCCCGCGACACCACCAGGGCCCACUGCCUGUGGGAGCAAAAGCAGGGGACCAGUGCCCAGGAGCGCUCCAGGGGAGGCUUCUGGGAAACCUCAGAGCUGACCCCAGGACCCUCACCCCCAGCUUCCUCUCCAGAUCUUCAGCCUCCAGUCUGUCUGUCCACAGUCCCAGAGGACUCCCCCGCCUCCCAUGCUGGCCCUGUCCUUCACCUGCUCGAGACCUCCCAUGGCUCCCAAAGGCCCUGAAAACAAGUCUCAGAUGCUCAACCUGGGGUACCAAGCCCAAAGGGUCUGCCUCUAAGACUGAACAGCCCCAUAGUUCACUGCACCCAACAGAGACACACUGCUGGGAAGGAGGACAAUAUUCAUAAAUUCAUAAGUAACUUACAAGGGGUGAGCCACAACACGGCCCCCCUCCAGAGCCUUCCAGCCAGCCACACAGCGUUCCCCACAAGCCUUCGUGCCUGUCUAUCCACGUCCCUGCUCUGCUCCCACAUGGGUGUCCCUCCUGUCAGCGACCACGGUCAUCCCCACCGCCCCCCUUGCUCUUCAAGGCCUCAUUGACCUGUCCACUGCCUGGGACCCGAGGGCUGGCCUGGGCUCCACCAGCACCAACCUGUUUGCGCGUGGUGAUAACCUGCCGGAUGGCAUUGACGAAGCCGCUCUGGUCAUAAGGGAUGAGGCCCAUGAAGAUCUUUUUCUUGGACGAGUACAGGAGCAUGAGUACGCGCACCUCGCAGGGGGAGAUGUGGGGAAAGAGCAUACACCCCGCCUGGGAGGGGCGGGGAGCAGGAAGGCAGUGAGGCACCCUGGGGCACUGCCGCCCACCACUCCAAGCUAACCUGAGGCUGCUCUGUCCUCAAAGUCCACACCAAAGAGAAGCCGGAGACCAAAACAUGUUGCAAGAGGAGGUGACUGGGCAUCUCCAUGUCUCCCCUCCUGGGCAAUCUGUGGUCAGGGGCCCGGGCCCCACCCUACAGGUGCAAGGAGCCUGAGAGGGAUGCAUCUCCCACCCCUGUCCCCCUCUCAAUGCCAGCCCCGUCUCUUAGAGCAGGACCCGCCUGCUAACCAGGCCAGAACGUCCUCCAGGGAGGCCCUGGGCACAGACCCAGCUCUGCUUCCUCCUAGCUGGGAGCUCAGACACAAAUCCCCUAUUCCCGGACCUCAGUUUUCCCGUCUGUAAAAUGGUUUCACAGGAGCCUCCAGAGACAACACCACAUAAAUAUUUGUUAUUUGA